AUAAGGGCUGGGCAAGACCGGUGCCAGCCGCCGCGGUAAUACCGGCAGCCCAAGUGAUGGCCGAUCUUAUUGGGCCUAAAGCGUCCGUAGCUGGCCGCACAAGUCCAUCGGGAAAUCCACCUGCCCCAACAGGUGGACGCCCGGUGGAAACUGUGUGGCUUGGGACCGGAAGGCGCGACGGGUACGUCCGGGGUAGGAGUGAAAUCCCGUAAUCCUGGACGGACCGCCGAUGGCGAAAGCACGUCGCGAAAACGGAUCCGACAGUGAGGGACGAAAGCCAGGGUCUCGAACCGGAUUAGAUACCCGGGUAGUCCUGGCCGUAAACAAUGUCUGUUAGGUGUGGCUCCCACUACGAGUGGGUGCUGUGCCGUAGGGAAGCCGCUAAACAGACCGCCUGGGAAGUACGUCCGCAAGGAUGAAACUUAAAGGAAUUGGCGGGGGAGCACUACAACCGGAGGAGCCUGCGGUUUAAUUGGACUCAACGCCGGACAUCUCACCAGCAUCGACUGUGAUAAUGACGACCAGGUUGAUGACCUUGUCCGAGUCUCAGAGAGGAGGUGCAUGGCCGCCGUCAGCUCGUACCGUGAGGCGUCCUGUUAAGUCAGGCAACGAGCGAGACCCGCAUCCCUACUUGCCAGCAGUACUUCACAGUAGCUGGGGACAGUACGGAGACCGCCGUGGCCAACACGGAGGAAGGAACGGGCAACGGUAGGUCAGUAUGCCCCGAAUGUGCUGGGCAACACGCGGGCUACAAUGGUCAGGACAAAGGGUUCCAACUCCGAAAGGAGACGGUAAUCUCAGAAACCUGAUCGUAGUUCGGAUUGUGGGCUGCAACUCGCCCACAUGAAGCUGGAUUCGGUAGUAAUCGCGUGUCACAAGCGCGCGGUGAAUACGUCCCUGCUCCUUGCACACACCGCCCGUCAAAGCACCCGAGUGAGGUCCGGAUGAGGC
rnacentral:rRNA from 1 species